rnacentral:rRNA from 1 species
AAACCAACCGGGAUUGCCUCAGUAGCGGCGAGUGAAGCGGCAAAAGCUCCACUUUGAAAGCGUUUCGGCGCGUUGUAGUGUGGUGCAGUCUUUGAACGGCGAAUAACUAAGUCCCUUGGAACAGGGUGCCAUAGAGGGUGAGAGCCCCGUGAGUUAUUUAUUAAGUUCUUUAAGUCUGUACUAAAGAGUCGAGUUGUUUGGGAAUGCAGCUCUAAGUGGGUGGUAAAUUCCAUCUAAGGCUAAAUACCGGCGAGAGACCGAUAGCGAACAAGUACAGUGAUGGAAAGAUGAAAAGCACUUUGAAAAGAGAGUGAAACAGUACGUGAAAUUGUUGAAAGGGAAGGGUAUUUGGCCCGACAUGGGUCCUGUGCACCGUUGCCUCUUGUGGGCGGCGCUCUGCUGGGGCCUGGGCCAGCAUCAUUUUUCUGGCGGGGAUAAGGUUGCGUGAACCACCUAGUGGGGAUCGUGGCGAUGCCCGCACGGGGGAAUGAGGACUGCCGCUGUAGGAUGCUGGCACAACGGCCAAAUACCGC